AACGAACGCUGGCGGCAGGCUUAACACAUGCAAGUCGAGCGCCCCGCAAGGGGAGCGGCAGACGGGUGAGUAACGCGUGGGAAUCUACCCAUCUCUACGGAAUAACGCAUGGAAACGUGUGCUAAUACCGUAUACGUCCUUCGGGAGAAAGAUUUAUCGGAGAUGGAUGAGCCCGCGCUGGAUUAGCUAGUUGGCGGGGUAAAGGCCUACCAAGGCGACGAUCCAUAGCUGGCCUGAGAGGAUGAUCAGCCACACUGGGACUGAGACACGGCCCAGACUCCUACGGGAGGCAGCAGUGGGGAAUAUUGGACAAUGGGCGCAAGCCUGAUCCAGCCAUGCCGCGUGAGUGAUGAAGGCCCUAGGGUUGUAAAGCUCUUUCACCGGUGAAGAUAAUGACGGUAACCGGAGAAGAAGCCCCGGCUAACUUCGUGCCAGCAGCCGCCGUAAAAC
rnacentral:rRNA from 1 species